rnacentral:RNase_P_RNA from 1 species
UCAGAAGGCUGGACGGCCGCGAGGUUUACUUCGAGGAAAGUCCGGGCUCCAUUGAAGCAGGAUGCCGGGUAACGCCCGGCGAGGCGGCUUUGGCCGUCUUAGGGAAAGUGCCACAGAAAGAAAACCGCCUUAUAUUUAAGGUAAGGGUGAAAGGGUGUGGUAAGAGCGCACCGCCGUUUUGGCAACAAAGCGGGCAGGGUAAACCCCAUCCGGAGCAAGACCAAAUAGGGACAACGCAUGGCGGGCUUUAACGCUGUUGUCCGGGUAGGUCGCUAAAGGCGGCGGGCAACCGCCGUUUUAGAUGAAUGGUCGUCACCCUUUAUGGGUACAGAACCCGGCUUAUAGGCCCUCUGAUAUA